AUGACUUCUAAAUAUGUAUCAAAAACUAUGUUGAUAGUUUGGUCGAGAAACACUUACGGAAAAUUGGAAUUUGAAUGCAAAAAUUCAAAGGUUGGCAGGUUUUGUAUUUGGGCUGCAGCUUCGAAUUCCUGGAAUUUUAAGCAAGGUUUCAAGGCUUUUCUUUUCGAUUUUUUUUUACCUUUUUACAGUUGCCAAUGA